rnacentral:rRNA from 1 species
ACGCUGGCGGCGUGCCUAAUACAUGCAAGUCGAGCGGACAGAUGGGAGCUUGCUCCCUGAUGUUAGCGGCGGACGGGUGAGUAACACGUGGGUAACCUGCCUGUAAGACUGGGAUAACUCCGGGAAACCGGGGCUAAUACCGGAUGGUUGUUUGAACCGCAUGGUUCAGACAUAAAAGGUGGCUUCGGCUACCACUUACAGAUGGACCCGCGGCGCAUUAGCUAGUUGGUGAGGUAACGGCUCACCAAGGCGACGAUGCGUAGCCGACCUGAGAGGGUGAUCGGCCACACUGGGACUGAGACACGGCCCAGACUCCUACGGGAGGCAGCAGUAGGGAAUCUUCCGCAAUGGACGAAAGUCUGACGGAGCAACGCCGCGUGAGUGAUGAAGGUUUUCGGAUCGUAAAGCUCUGUUGUUAGGGAAGARCAAGUGCCGUUCAAAUAGGUCGGCACC